UCCCUGCUGGCUCAGGUGGUAAGGAACCUGCCUGCAAUGCAGGAGACCCAGGUUUGAUCCCUGGGUGGGGAA
rnacentral:tRNA from 1 species